GGUUGAUCCUGCCAGUAGUCAUAUGCUUGUCUCAAAGAUUAAGCCAUGCAUGUCCAAGUAUAAACCAUUUAUACGGUGAAACUGCGAAUGGCUCAUUAAAUCAGUUAUAAUUUAUUUGAUCGUACCUUACUACUUGGAUAACCGUGGUAAUUCUAUGGCUAAUACAUGCACAAAGGCCGCAAGGUCUGUAUUUAUUAGAUCAAAAACCAACGCGUGGCGACACGCUCUCGGUGAAUCAUAGUAACUGCUCGAAUCGCAUGGCCUCGUGCCGGCGAUGGUUCAUUCAAAUUU
rnacentral:rRNA from 1 species